UCUAAAAAAUCCGCUCGAUUUUCAGAUUUGGCCCAAGUUAAAGAGUUCACAGUGUCGGAAUCUUCAAUUCCGACCCUGCAUUUGGUUCCGUUAAAAGAUUGCCCAGAAAGGGUGCCGGAACUGCCUCCACAAAAUUCAAAUGAAGUAAAAUAUUUUUGGUGUUACACCUGUCAAAAUUCUCGUACUAAUUCUUUGCCCUGGUUGCUGCGAUUGCGGUAUUCUAAAUUCUCGAUGUGGUUGCGCCAUUUGUUUUGUGGUUCGAUGUUUUGCGCUGUUAUUUGUUUGGUUGUUUUUGUUUGAAUUGUUUAAUCUUUUUUUUCUCGUUUCAUGAGCUGUUUCUUGUUUAGAGCGUUUCUUAGUUACCGAUGAUGAGAUGAUUGGACUGGAGAUUUCAGAGUAGAGUAAAUAUUAUUGACGACGAUGACGAUGAUGGCGAUGAUGAUGAUUAUAUGACGAGCAAGACGAUGAUGCAGAUGAUGGAUGACAACUAUAUGAGAUGAAUUUUGGAUGGAUUAGAAAUAUGCCGAAUUACUGGACCGAACGACGAUACCGACGGAGAGGCCUUUUUGAAGAUCUUGAAGACUGAAGAUUUUUUUCUUUAAAUGACAUGUAUUAUAUUUUUG